GGUUUUGCUCUUUCUUUUUUCCCCUCCACUAGCUAUUUUCAGUUUAUUAAGGAAAAGGGAUCAUUAUAUAUUGACAAAGUUUUUUUUUAGGCCAGGGCUAUAUUUGUGGAAGUAAAUCGAAUAUUAGCUUUUACCAGAAAAAAAACAAACAACCCUUUUCUCAGUUGUUUGGGGCAAACAUUUGCAGCUUUUUCAACUAAAGCAAAAGUAAAAACAAACCCCCAAACAGCCGCUGAAUUCAGCGCAGACUGGAACAUACUGAGGUUUGCGUAAUGCUUAAUGAUAAUAAUUAAACUAAAAUCCAUGGACAACUGAAAUAUUUGAGAAAUACAGAAAGCAAAUAUUUCUCAUUUUAACACCGUUCAUCAGAUCGGUUCCACCCAAUGUCACACCAUGUCAGCACACACAAAUUCUUAUAUUUGUGAUGAAUUACUUUGCCCAGCUCUGGCCUAAACAGAGAAAAGGCUGAACAAAAGAGGAUUUACUCUUUUUCUGGAUUUUCUUCAUCCCUGUCCAGGCCCUGACAACCUAAAUACUCAUAACAUUGGCAUCUAUUUUCACACAGAUGUUCACGUGAUUGAUAGCCAGAAGUAAACAUCACUCGUCUCCUGUUGUCUGAUGCAAAAGAACAAGACUUGGUCCUAGCCCAAAGAUUCAGAUGAAAGUCUGAUGUCACCAGGUUAAAUGAUUGAUGGAUGACAAACCCAGGCUGCUUUUUUAGUCUUGCACAUGAAUUCGAAAGUGAGUGCUAAGGGACCAGCUGAACAAGCUCCGAGAGUGUCUUCAGGCAGAAGGAUGCACUGGUAUUUUUCCCCUAGAUGGUGUGCUCACCAUGGAAUCAUAGAAUAGUUAGGGUUGGAAAGGACCUUAAGAUCUGUGUUAGUAAACAGAAUCAUCAUCCUGCUCCAAAAAACAGGUUGAACCGGGAAUGGGAGUGGUGCCUGCCAGGUGACACAGAGGUCGUGGGGCACAGGGAGCAGAUACACCCAUGGCAACUCAGGAGGAGCUAAAGCUUCCCCUUCCCAGGCUGUGACAGGUCAGCACAAGACCAGGAUGAAGCAGGACAUGGUCCAGCUCUGCAGCAUCGCAGGGGAAGCAGCCAUACAAUGAACUGCACAAAGGAGCUUGGCAUCAGCCUGUGGGCUGUGGAUCUAGGAGCUGGCAAUGAAAAAAGGCUUGAAGAAUGCAGCUUGCACGUGUAUUGCCCGCACAGGGAGGAGGCAAAGCCAUGAGCAGACCUGCUGGCCUCUCUCCGAUUUGGCUGGAGUGUGCAGCUCUGCUCAGGCCGAGAGAGGGCACUCGAGAGCUGAGGAUCUUCUCAGAGCCUGAGCCGGGGCAGCCCCGCGGUUCAACACAAGGGAUGGAAACAGCCUCCCCACACCACACAUCCUUUGAGGUCUGCUUCAUCCUCUGCCCCAGCAAUCUAAGGACCACUCAAACACCUCCGGGAAGCAGUUUCAGGUCGUGGUGAUCUCUACAGGAGAGCAGACCUGGCCUCUUCCCCCAGUUACAGCUUGAGCUGAAUGAAGCCACUGUUUUUUCUAUGUUAACACAGCUGACCCCUUAGAGCUGGUCAGAACGAUAGAAAGAAGAACCAGCCAUUUCCCUGGUCACAGCUUGUGCCUGCAGUGGGAAGCCUUAUACCACACAGGUUCUUCCACAAAAGGGAGAGCAAAGUCCAGUUGUUUCUGCUCCAAGGGCCAGGAAGGGGCAUCUGUGCUGGGGCAAACACCAGGUAAAGCCAACUGAGUCACUGUGACUGUUCGGCCAGAGGUAUGGAUGGACUAAAAACCCACUGCAGUGUCCUGCAAGACUGCUGUCAAAGACAGUCUUCCUCCAGCAGCUUGGCCAGUGGGAGGAAAACACAGGGAAAUAAAGAGGUCCAAACACCUUUACACUUCAGGCCCAUCUCUCACAUGUGUUUUUUUGAAUUCACAACCUCUGUAAUUAUGACGCUGAAACUUUCGCUGUGGGAAGAUAGCUGCCAUCUUGACAUCUGCAAGUGAGUUGUGAGCAGAAUAAAUCCCUUCAGGUAAUGUUAAAGGACAGUGUACUCCAGUCCUGCAGGACGUGCUGCAACAGCAGCCACAAACAUUGGUUCUCCUUUCCAGAGGCAAUAUGCUUUGAUUCCUCUUCCUGAUUGUGUUUGGAAGAUUUUGGGAGAAACAGUUGGCUGAUGAAACACAAUUCAAUGAAACAAGAAGUUGAAAUAACCCUAGGCAACUUCCAGAGGGCAAGAAAUGAGCACAGAUCAGAUCCCUACAAGCAGCCCAUAUGUCCAAAUGUGGCUGGCACCUACAGUGAAACUCACUGGCUGGCCCCAGCUCAAAUCUGGUUAUGGAGAGACUGUUGGGAUGAAACUAUAUGGCUCUGCUCUUGGGUGCUAAUAAAAGGGAGAUCCUCAACCUCAUAAAUCCUUUAAACAUUC